CUCCUGGAAACGGGUGGUAAUGCCGGAUGUUCCAGUUGAUCGCAUGGUCUUCUGGGAAAGCUUUCGCGGUAUGGGAUGGGGUCGCGUCCUAUCAGCUUGACGGCGGGGUAACGGCCCACCGUGGCUUCGACGGGUAGCCGGCCUGAGAGGGCGACCGGCCACAUUGGGACUGAGAUACGGCCCAGACUCCUACGGGAGGCAGCAGUGGGGAAUAUUGCACAAUGGGCGCAAGCCUGAUGCAGCGACGCCGCGUGAGGGAUGGAGGCCUUCGUGUUGUAAACCUCUUUUAUCGGGGAGCAAGCGUGAGUGAGUUUACCCGUUGAAUAAGCACCGGCUAACUACGUGCCAGCAGCCGCGGUAAUACGUAGGGUGCAAGCGUUAUCCGGAAUUAUUGGGCGUAAAGGGCUCGUAGGCGGUUCGUCGCGUCCGGUGUGAAAGUCCAUCGCUUAACGGUGGAUCCGCGCCGGGUACGGGCGGGCUUGAGUGCGGUAGGGGAGACUGGAAUUCCCGGUGUAACGGUGGAAUGUGUAGAUAUCGGGAAGAACACC
rnacentral:rRNA from 1 species